rnacentral:rRNA from 1 species
AUUGAACGCUGGCGGCAUGCCUAACACAUGCAAGUCGAACGGCAGCACAGUCUAGUUUACUAGAUGGGUGGCAAGUGGCGGACGGGUGAGUAAUGCGCAGGAAUAUGCCUUAAAGUGGGGGACAACUUGGGGAAACUCAAGCUAAUACCGCAUAAUCUCUUCGGAGAAAAGCUGGGGACCUUCGGGCCUGGCGCUUUAAGAUUAGCCUGCGUCCGAUUAGCUAGUUGGUAGGGUAAAGGCCUACCAAGGCGACGAUCGGUAGCUGGUCUGAGAGGAUGACCAGCCACACUGGAACUGAGACACGGUCCAGACUCCUACGGGAGGCAGCAGUGGGGAAUAUUGGACAAUGGGGGAAACCCUGAUCCAGCAAUGCCGCGUGUGUGAAGAAGGCCUUAGGGUUGUAAAGCACUUUCAGUGGGGAGGAGGGUUAUUAGGUUAAGAGCCAGAUAAUUGGACGUUACCCACAGAAGAAGCACCGGCUAACUCCGUGCC